rnacentral:lncRNA from 1 species
GUCGUUAGCAAAUAUAGAACCCAACCUGGGUUGGGUAUCGAUCCCACAGAGAAUAGCUUGGCCAACAAGCAAGAGAAAUUACUAGACUUUUAGUGCAAGUCUCGUAGGAAAGGGGGGAUUGUAGUAUGUAACCAAAACAAGAAGGUAAGAACUGAAAAUAGCAAAAUAAAGAGAGAUUGUCACGUGUGUUGUAAACAAUGAGAAUUGAGGCGUUGGGGUUAUGUCCACCUUCUGAGGUAUACGUCUCUAUUGGCUAUGAGUGUGUAGAGUCUUGACAUGUAAUUGCUUAUAGAGAAUUGUAGUCGAUUGUAAAUCCAAGCGUCUCUCGACCUAAACAAGGACUAUUUCACUUUAACUCUCUCGAGCUUAAAGCGUGACUAACGGUACGAAUUCUCCAAGAAGUUAGUCCAGGUACGGCACUAGCUUUUUAAUAGGAAAGGGUGUCCUACUACCUUGACAUUAUCUCUUUUCCAGACAAAUAACUUUUCUCUCGAACAAGUCAGAUGUUAGACUGGCGUUGGUCUAUGCGUCUUCUUU